CCGAGCCGGGUAGCCCUCCGGACGCAGGGCAGUCCGGUUGCUAUGGGAAUAGCGAGCGUCGCCUUCCUCUUUCCUAGCCGAGCGUCGUGGGUACCUCCUGUUGCCUGGUGGACGCCGUGAGCGCGCCCAGAAGAGUGCUGUUACAACGUGUGAGGUUGAUUGAGUGCGUCUUUCAGACGGGUUCCAUUCCCCCACCGACAUUAUCUUUCUUUACCCCCUCGGUGCGAGGAAUUGAAUCUAGGAAAUGAACAGGUUGAGCAAGCCAUGAAGAGAAAGCCAAUGCAUGCAGCACCCCUCCCUGGCCUCUUCAUCAGCUCCUUCCUCCAGGUUCCUGCCCAGUUUAAGUUCCUGUCCUGGAUUCCUCCAGUGGUAGACUAUGAUGAGGACAUUUGCAUGUUAGCAGCCACCCUCACAGCUCAACACACUCACUGUGACACGUGCUUCUUGAGUGCCUUCAUUCCGGGCUUCACACAGAAUACAGAAAAGCGCCAUCCACCAUGCUGCUUUCUCUCCUCUUUCCUUUGGGCUCAUGACUGCACCUACCCAAGAAUACAGCAGUACAGCAGCUUGCCCGUGCCCUCUGCCAGGAUCCUGUGCCCUGAAUCUCCUAAGCUUCUUGACCCUCUCCAUAAGUGACACUCAAUGGCUGACUUAUAGACUGCUGGCUGUCCCCAGCGGCCCAAGACUCGCCCACUCCCAUCUGUGACCCUCACCACCAUCUCCACCACCAGGAAUGGUUUCCGUCCCUGGGAUGAUGCAUGUGGCCAGAAACAUCCCAACAACAGGCAGUCAUUGACUUCAGAGUGGAGUCUCACUGACUGGUUCUCGCCCUGAGCAUGGGGGUAGGGGAGAGGGAUUCUCCAGCUGCUCCCUGCAUUGAGCAGAAUGAGGGAGUGGGGAUAACUAAGCCUAGAAUUGAGAUAAAAAGUUUUUUGUUUUGUUUUGUUUUGUUUUUUGGUGGGGGUUAGAGACAGGGUUUCUCUGUGUAGUCCUGGCUGUCCUGGAGCUCACUCUCUCUGUAGACCAGGCUGGCCUUGAACUCACUGAGCUCCACCUGCCCCUGCCUUCCAAGUGCUGGGAUUAAAGGUAUGUGCCACCACCACCUGGCCCCAAAGGUUCUUUACAAUUUGGGCUGAUUUCAUUUCUUGGGGCUUGCAUGGUAGGGACACUGAAUCCUAAAUACUUGUACAUCCAUGUUUACUGCUUCUCUACUCACAACAAGGAAACAAUCAUUCUAGAUGUCCAUCGACACAUGUAGUUAAUAAAAAUGCAAUUAUAAAAUUUGUAGGAAAAUAUAAAGUUAGGUAAUUUGGGC
rnacentral:lncRNA from 1 species